rnacentral:lncRNA from 1 species
CUGAAAGGAAAGUGUUAAUCGUCUGCAAUGUUGGAAUAUUCAAAAUAUAAAUUUUUGUUUUUUCUAAGCUUAUUUGUUAUUGUGGAAAUAAAAUCUUGUGUUUCAUUAUAUGAAGAUCAAAUUGGAAAAUUCGAUUGGUAAGAUAAAUAUUUUUUCAUGCUUAGACAAGACUAGAAUAACUAUUUUAGAACCAACCCUGGACGUACAGUAUUCUAACCAGACUUGUUACCAUCCCGGAGUUGUGACAUUCAUUCUCCAUAAGUGCUCUUACAUUUCCUCUGCCAUGCUUAAUAACAAAUUUUUUUGUACAUAUUGUAAAGUAUGCAUUGCUUUUAUUUAUCGAAGUGGCUACACUCCCGGCAUACCGGGAAAAAGUUGCAAUACCGGCAGUAAGGUUUUAUUGGUUGUUUGAUGUCACGUGGCCGGCAGUAAAAGUUAUUAAUGCAACCAUAAAAUGAUUUGUUGUUUUUAUUAUGGUCCAAAUAUUUUGUCAUUGAAAUUGAGAAGCCAUUCCUAUUUUGAUCAAAUACAAUAUAUCAUUUGCUUAAAUAAAAGUGUUCCCAUAUUGUUUGA